UACUCUGUUAAGACCUGCUCCAGGGAUUCAAUGAGCCAAUGACUUUGUUCAGUACGAGUUUUUUGGUGUUGCCAUCAUUUUAAAUCACAGUGAAAUAAUAUUUAAUCCAACAAUAUGAAGAUCUUCGCUGUGGCUGUCUUGGUGCUCUUUGCCGUUGUCUCAGGAGAAGAUUGUGUAGAUAAAGUGAAAACCGAAUUCUGUGAGAAAUACAUUGCGCAGAAGGGAGAAUGUGACCCGUAUGCAAGCAAGAAUUGUCGUCUUACAUGCGGUAUUUGUAAACAAGAUGUCUGCGAGGACGUUCAGGCUGAAGUAAUCUGCAAAACUUUCAUUGCCCAGAUCGGCGGAAGUUGCGUUGGAAAUAACUAUGUGCUUGCAAAUUGUGCUAAGAGCUGUGGAGCUUGUUAAUCGAGGAGUACAAAAAGCUGUGGAUGGUCACUCAAUUUAAAAUAAUAUAGAAUUUGGAUAGUAGCCGAUUAUUAUUUUCUUUUCUUGAGGAAUUAUUUUUGAUUUUAUAUAGGUGUUAGCUUUGUCACGUGUACGAUUUUCAUUUUUUGUUCUUGCCUGAUUCACUGAUUCA